GACGAAUGAUUUAUAGGUUCUCCUAGUUUUAUGACGUCACAAGUAGGCCGGAGUAAUUUUGGGGGCAUUUUUACGAUUUUCCUACUAUUUUUUACCUAGUUUCAAAGAUUUUUGAACAAAAGAAUCCAAAAUGUAAAAGAAGAUGACACCUGGCGCGAUCUCAGCCCGUCACUUUUCACUACUUGCACAAGUGUACGUCAGUCAACAUGGCCACAUCCUCCCAUUUUACCCUAAAUGAUUAUUUUAUUACCUUUUUUCUUGAAAAAUUCAUAACUAAAUACACAAAAAUUCAAAAUUAUUUCCGAAAAUUGCUACGAACUCAUUGACACUCCAUCUCCGUUGCUGAAUUCUCCGAUUCAUUGUUACGCAUUUGUAAAAUUAAUUCCCAACAUUAACGGGAGAUGCUUGUUGAAGUAGGUUAUUCAAGUUGAAGUUAACAAACAUCAAUACUUAGGGUUAAGAGGAAAGUGAGUUAUGUAACACAAUUUGGAUUAUUUCAUUGCGAGACGAAUGAUUUAUAGGUUCUCCUACUUUUAUGACGUCACAAGUAGGCCGGAGUAAUUUUUGGGGCAUUUUUACGAUUUUCCUACUAUUUCUUACCUAGUUUCAAAGAUUUUUGAACAAAAGAAUCCAAAAUUAACAAGAAUAUGACACCUGGCGCGAUCUCAGCCAGUCACUUUUGACUACUUGCACAAGUGUACGUUACCGAACAUGGCCACAUCCUCCCAUUUUACCCUAAAUUAUUAUUUUAUUACCUUUUUUCUUGGAAAAUUCAUAACUAAAUACACAAAAAUUAGAAAAACGAUCUGAAAAUUUCUACGAACUUAUUGCGAU
rnacentral:lncRNA from 1 species